rnacentral:rRNA from 1 species
UACAGAGGGGGCAAGCGUUGUUCGGAAUUACUGGGCGUAAAGGGCGCGUAGGCGGCCUGCUAAGUCGAACGUGAAAUCCCUGGGCUUAACCCAGGAACUGCGUCCGAUACUGGCAGGCUUGAAUCCGGGAGAGGGAUGCGGAAUUCCAGGUGUAGCGGUGAAAUGCGUAGAUAUCUGGAGGAACACCGGUGGCGAAGGCGGCGACCUGGUCCGUGACUGACGCUGAGGCGCGAAAGCGUGGGGAGCAAACAGG